UGGGGAAUAUUGGACAAUGGGCGGAAGCCUGAUCCAGCAACGCCGCGUGAGGGAUGACGGCCUUCGGGUUGUAAACCUCUUUCAGUACCGACGAAGCGAAAGUGACGGUAGGUACAGAAGAAGGACCGGCCAACUACGUGCCAGCAGCCGCGGUAAUACGUAGGGUCCGAGCGUUGUCCGGAAUUAUUGGGCGUAAAGGGCUCGUAGGCGGUUUGUCGCGUCGGGAGUGAAAACAGCGGGCUUAACUCGUUGCUUGCUUUCGAUACGGGCAGACUAGAGGUAUGCAGGGGAGAAUGGAAUUCCUGGUGUAGCGGUGAAAUGCGCAGAUAUCAGGAGGAACACCGGUGGCGAAGGCGGUUCUCUGGGCAUUACCUGACGCUGAGGAGCGAAAGUGUGGGGAGCGAACAGGAUUAGAUACCCUGGUAGUCCACACCGUAAACGUUGGGCGCUAGGUGUGGGGUCCUUUCCACGGAUUCCGUGCCGUAGCUAACGCAUUAAGCGCCCCGCCUGGGGAGUACGGCCGCAAGGCUAAAAACUC
rnacentral:rRNA from 1 species